rnacentral:rRNA from 1 species
UACGUAGGGACCAAGCGUUGUUCGGAUUUACUGGGCGUAAAGGGCGCGUAGGCGGCGCCGUAAGUCACUUGUGAAAUCUCCGGGCUUAACUCGGAACGGUCAAGUGAUACUGCAGUGCUAGAGUGCGGAAGGGGCAAUCGGAAUUCUUGGUGUAGCGGUGAAAUGCGUAGAUAUCAAGAGGAACACCUGAGGUGAAGACGGGUUGCUGGGCCGACACUGACGCUGACAGCGCGAAAGCCAGGGGAGCAAACGGG